UACGUAGGGUGCGAGCGUUAAUCGGAAUUACUGGGCGUAAAGCGUGCGCAGGCGGUUUUGUAAGCCAGAUGUGAAAUCCCCGGGCUCAACCUGGGAAUGGCAUUUGGGACUGCAAGGCUGGAGUGUGGCAGAGGAGACGUGGAAUUCCUGGUGUAGCAGUGAAAUGCGUAGAUAUCAGGAGGAAUACCGAUGGCGAAGGCAGGUCUCUGGGACUGACAC
rnacentral:rRNA from 1 species